GAGUAUUUAUGGAUUUACCAAAUGUAAUCGAGGUAUGAUUAAGGUCUCAUUGAUGAUGUAAAAAUAGUUUUAGAACCAUUAGAUCAAUUCUUGAUGGGAGGUAUACAUAAUCAGUGGUAUUGAUGCAAAGUCAAAACGAGCUUAGCAUAAGUGCGCUACGCUCGAUCGGGUAAGCAUAACUAUUGGGUAUGAAGUCAUAUGGACCUAAGGUUUGGUGUGAGUGUUUUACACAUGAGGAUAAUAGGCCUAGCAGAUGAUUAAGUCGAAAUUAUUGAAGUGAUAAGGUUUUCAUAAGUCAAAAGGUGAAAUGAUGAGAUGAAAGGUGUCAAAUUUUGAUACAAUAAGGCUAAAUCAUUGAAAAUAAAGAAUUUUCAUCAACCUUAUCACUUUGCACGACCAUUACUCUGAAAAACAGAGAGAAAAGAAAAACAAAAACCAUUUCUUGGCUGGUUUGAAGAAAUUCUAAGGAGAUCCAAGUGAAAUCAAAGCCAAAGAAGUGGAUUAAGCUUAGUUCUAGCCUUUUUAUGGAUAAGCAUAUCAACACCUAAGACACCACUUGUUACACGAUGAAUUAUAUUUUGGACAGAAGGUAGAGAAAGAAAUGUGUGAAUGACAUGAGGAGAACUGAAGCAUGGUCCUGACCCUGAUUUGUACAUAUGAACAUAUCGACCUUUUGUGGGUUAUUUCAGUUAUCAGUGUGAUGUUUGUAAUAAAGUGUGAAGUUAUAUUUUGAAAAUAAAUUGGGUUAUUUAAUACUUAUGUAUAAUAUGUUUGAGACACACUUUAUGUUUAAUGUAAAUAAUGUGAAAUAAGUUUUCAAGUUUAAAAAAAAAAAGUCCAGACUUCCGCAGUAAUAAAUUAUGAUAUAGUUUUAAAACGUAACACCUCAAAUAUGGUUUUAACUAAAAUAAGCGAGGGU